UGGGGAAUAUUGCACAAUGGGCGCAAGCCUGAUGCAGCCAUGCCGCGUGUAUGAAGAAGGCCUUCGGGUUGUAAAGUACUUUCAGCGGGGAGGAAGGCGAUAAGGUUAAUAACCUUGUCGAUUGACGUUACCCGCAGAAGAAGCACCGGCUAACUCCGUGCCAGCAGCCGCGGUAAUACGGAGGGUGCAAGCGUUAACCGGAAUUACUGGGCGUAAAGCGCACGCAGGCGGUCUGUCAAGUCGGAUGUGAAAUCCCCGGGCUCAACCUGGGAACUGCAUUCGAAACUGGCAGGCUAGAGUCUUGUAGAGGGGGGUAGAAUUCCAGGUGUAGCGGUGAAAUGCGUAGAGAUCUGGAGGAAUACCGGUGGCGAAGGCGGCCCCCUGGACAAAGACUUACGCUCAGGUGCGAAAGCGUGGGGAGCAAACA
rnacentral:rRNA from 1 species